rnacentral:rRNA from 1 species
GACGAACGCUGGCGGCAGGCCUAACACAUGCAAGUCGAACGAGUGGCGGACGGGUGAGCAAUGGCUGGGAAACUGCUUGAUGGAGGGGGAUAACUACUGGAAACGGUAGCUAAUACUGCAUACCAUCAGAUGUGCCGUGAUGGGAUUAGCUUGGUGGUGGGGUAAAGGCUCACCAAGGCGACGAUGCCUAGCUGGUCGGAGAGGAUGACCAGCGACACUGGGACUGAGACACGGUCCAGACUCCUACGGGAGGCAGCAGUGGGGAAUAUUGCACAAUGGGCGAAAGCCUGAUGCAGCCAUGCCGCGUGUGUGAAGAAGGCCUUCGGGUUGUAAAGCACUUUCGGCGGGGAGGCGUUACCCGCAGAGGAAGCACCGGCUAACUCCGUGCCAGCAGCCGCUGUAAUUC